rnacentral:lncRNA from 1 species
AAAAAAAUAAUAUAGCCAAAGGGUUCAAAACGCAUCCAAAAUUAUAAUUUUCAGAAGCGCCGUUUAAGAUGGCCAAUCUCCAUUUGCGAAGGUGUAAAUUAAGUGUUAGAGAGGUGUCGUUCAAGACCGCUUCCUCUCCGCUGGGAACCUUCGCGUUUCCAAUAUCCAUCACAGAAUAAAUUGAAGAUCUAAUCAAUCGAAAAAGGAAAAUUAAAACGAAAAAUAUCUGAAGAUAUGGAGAACCUAACCGAAACAAACAGAUCCGGAUCGGCGAUCAAAAUUCAGCAAUUGAAUAUCUAUUUCCGAAGGUAAACUUGACAGAAUCGGCAUUCACAUAAACGCCUCUCGUCUAUAGGUCCUUCGAUUUCAUGGAUAGAGUUUUAGCAACGAAAUUAGAAAUUUGCAGUCGAUGCAAAUUGAAAAUUAGGGGAAAAUUGAAAGAAAUUGCUCAGUGAAUACGAACCAAAUAGAAUCAUUCACGCCGCGGCAAGAGAUGCUGCAAUCGGGAUCUAGGUAAUUCUCUUCAUCACAGAUUUAAACAUUUUCAAAAUUAUUCAACGAGAAAUAAAAGGAAACAAAAACAAUGAAUGACUGCAAAGGAAAGAAACGAAAUCUG